AGAAGGUCUAAAAGCUCUAAAGAAAAUCCGGGGAGUAGAAGAUGUCCAAAAGGAGUAUGACGAGAUUCUACAAGCGACUGAAGUCGCUAAAAAGAUCGAUCACCCUUUUAGAAACCUAAUGAAACGGUCGAGUAGGCCUCAACUUAUCUGUGGUACUAUUUUACAAGUUUUUCAGCAGUUCACCGGAAUCAAUGUGAUCAUGUUUUACGCCCCGGUUUUGUUCCAAACCAUGGGGUUGGGAGGAGAUGCAUCUCUAUUGUCAUCUGUAGUGACUGGUUCAAUCAAUUCAGCAUCCACAUUGGUUGCAAUUUUUGGUGUGGAUAUAUUUGGAAGAAGGGCUUUACUUAUUGAAGCAGCCAUUCAAAUGCUUAUUUCUCAGGUUUGUGACAUGUUAAGUAAUUAGGGCUCUAUUGGAGUUGAUUUUAUUUUUCCUUUCUGUAGAAGAAUUUUUUAGAGGAAAUUACCUUAAUAUUUGUUUGAAAACUAAUUUUCAAAAGAGUUUUCUAUUUCAAAAGUACUUUAAAAGGAAACCACGUUGGAUUAGCUUUCUUUAAAAAUUUUUCUAACUAAAACAAGUACUUUUAUAAAAUUAGCCGUCCAAAAACUCCUUAUGUAUCUCAAAAGCUCUUUUUGACUUUUCUAGAGUCAUGCUAGACAGACUCUUAAUACAGUUUGUUUUCUUUAAGGAUGCUAUAAUACAUUGUUGUUUUUUUGCAGGUUAUUACAGGAGUAAUGCUUGAAGAGCAUCUCAAAGCAACAAACUCUAUAUCAAAAGUUUAUGCAUACAUAGUGGUGGUGUUGAUCUGCGUUUUCGUGUCUGGUUUCGCAUGGUCUUGGGGUCCUUUGGGCUGGUUAAUUCCAAGUGAAAUAUUCCCACUCGAGACGAGAACUGCUGGAUUUUUCUUUGCUGUUAGCGUGAACAUGAUUUUCACCUUCUUGAUUGCUCAAGCUUUUCUCACAAUGCUGUGCCAUAUGAAAUCCGGGAUCUUCUUUUUCUUUGCUGCAUGGAUUGUUAUAAUGGGAUGUUGGGCUGUGUUCUUUCUGCCAGAAACUAAGGGAAUCCCCAUUGAUGAAAUGAAUGAGAGAGCUUGGAAAAAACACUGGUUUUGGAAGAAAUAUUUCAAUUCUGAUGAUGAAGCUAUUAAGCCUGUGGGAGAUAAAGCAUCUACUGAAGGGAAGGCUUGAUCUAUAUAUGCAUGUUCUCAAGAGUCAGUCUUGUUAAUUUUUUAGUUUUUUAUUUUUUUCAUGACUGUCUUAUUAAUUAAUUCGAAUCACUCUUUACAAUUUAUUAUCUGAAUUUCUACUUCAAAAUUGUUAUAAAUUGUUAAAUUGGAAGUUGGUUUUCGAAGGCAUGCAGAUUUUUACCCCUUCUAUAUCGCUCAAGUAGUUAAAUUGGACGUCAGUUAGUUGGACUUAAUGUUAAUCUUGUUGUGGGAAUAUAUUGACGAGAAGUAUUCAAUUCAACCUGAGGACAAAACCGAUCUCACUAUAUCCUGGAUUUUUGGGUUCGUGAUCACUAAGGAGUCUCGCUUCUUUCGAAUAUCUUCAUGGAUAUGAUUAAAAGCAUUUCUUGCUAAACUUUGACCGAAAUUAGGACCUUCCCUUUCCUUUGACCAAUGGUUCCUCCAACCAAUUUGUCCGUCCUUUCUAUUUCUCGAUAAGUGGUCACGCUCUUUUGGGUACAUACGUAUAAUCUUAGUCUUUGUUUGAUUCUUUGGAAUGAUUUUCGGGAUAAAAUAUCAGAAUAUUGUCCAAGAAUAUAGAAAAUCAAUCGGACAACCGAAAGUUUGAGGUCCUCGUUUUAAUUUAUGUGGUUAAUAUUAUGAUAAAAAUCAGAAUAAAGUGGCAUACGGUGCUUUCGGGUGCAACAUGCACAUAUGGUGUUCUUUUUCUAUAAAGAAAUUGCCUAGUCUUGUCAUUUCCAAGUGAAAAGCUACCUAUGUUCAUAUUGCCUCCUUGAACGUACGUACGUACGUACUUUUUUUUUUUCUUUUUUUUUUCUGGGACGAGGGAUUCCCAGUAAGUGCGAACGGUAUAUAACAUGUUAUCUAUUUUCAGGAGGAGUUACAUCCAUGGAUGAUUUCUUGUUGAAGUUCUUUCCAGUUGUGUACACGAAGAAGCACAGAGCAAAAGAGAAUAACUACUGCAAAUAUGACAAUCAACUUCUUCAAUUAUUCACUUCAAGUUUGUACCUUGCGGCUGUGGUUUGCUGUUUCUUUGCAUCAAAAUGUUGCAAGAAGUUUGGAAGAAAACCUACCAUGCAAUUGGCAGCCUUUUUCUUCUUUAUCGGUGUUAUUCUCGAUGCCGCGGCAAUGAAUCUUCCGAUGCUCAUUGUUGGACGGCUUUGUUUGGGUGCAGGUGUUGGAUUUGGAAACCAGGUAUUGAUUAACUGUGAUAUAAAUCAUAUAAUAUAUAUGUAUCUAUAUGUCAUGUCUUUUUCAAGUGAUCUGAAACUUUUUUCCACAACAUCUGGAUGUAUUUUAUGGCUGCAUUAGGAUUUUUUUUUUUUUUUAAUUAGUCGUCAACAAGGUUAAAAUAUAAAAUCUUAAAAUACACUAAGGCCCCGUUUGAUUGCACGAAAUUUUCCAUGGAACUUGGAAUUCGAAUUCCAACUUCCACUUUUGGCCUGUUUGUGAAACUUUUUUCCACAACAUCUGGAUGUAUUUUAUGGCUGCAUUCGGAUUUUUUUUUUUUUAAUCUGUUUUUCUGAUUCCUGUAUACUAUGUGGAUAUCAUUAGGAUUUUGAGAAAGUUAUUUUAUGUAUUUUUUUUAAAGAUACUCACAUUAUAUUAGCAUUUAAUUUCAUUGAAGUUAUUCAAUAGAAAUAACUAUUACAGUCAAUUAUUUGUCAAGAUGAUCGAUACAUUUACCAUCUUGUCCAAAAUUUUAGACGAGAUGAUUAAGCCCUCAUUGAAUUAAAUUUCAUUUUUAUCUCUCUUAUUUUCAAUCACACAAUUUUCUAUAAAAUAAUAUUGCAUGUAAAUCGAAAACUUUUCCUUCUUUUUCAAUCAUUCAUUUUUCAAAAAAAUAUUAUUCCACCCAUUAUAAUUUGAAAUAAUGGGGGCAAAACGGGGCUAAGAUUUAUUCAUUCCAUAUCAUGUUCUUUCAAGUUUUUCCUAAGUUUGUUGUUCUUUUACGUAUACUUUUGUAUGUCGAAGGAUGGGUAUUGCCCGAGUGACGGAAUGGCAACUACCCUGCAACAUUUUGAAUUUUUUUUUUUUAAACUAAGUAGAAAUUUUGAAAUUUUUGGUUAAUAUGUACAUAAUAUGUGUAUUUUUUUUGUCCCUUCAACAAACUGAAUUUCAGGCAGUGCCACUUUUCAUAUCAGAAAUUGCUCCACCAAAGUACAGGGGAGGCCUUAACAUUUGUUUUCAGAUGUUGAUCACAUUGGGAAUUUUGUGUGCCAACAUUGUGAACUAUUUUACUUCCAAAUUGCAUCCUUAUGGUUGGAGAAUCUCUCUUGGUGGUGCUGCAGUACCAGCAAUUAUCCUCGGCUUGGGCUCUCUUAUCAUAGUCGAGACACCUACAAGCCUAAUCGAACGUGGUAAAAAACAAGAAGGUCUAAAAGCUCUAAAGAAAAUCCGGGGAGUAGAAGAUGUCCAAAAGGAGUAUGACGAGAUUCUACAAGCGACUGAAGUCGCUAAAAAGAUCGAUCACCCUUUUAGAAACCUAAUGAAACGGUCGAGUAGGCCUCAACUUAUCUGUGGUACUAUUUUACAAGUUUUUCAGCAGUUCACCGGAAUCAAUGUGAUCAUGUUUUACGCCCCGG
rnacentral:lncRNA from 1 species